GGGGCGGUGGACCUGAUGGCUGUAGCUGAUGCCCAGCUGUACCGUGGGGCGGAGAAGUGCUGCUCUGCCUGCCCGAAGGCAGCGGGUUUGCCUCUGCUGAAUCUUCAAAGCUCCUCGAUCCACACAUCGGUGGAGGGAGGUCCUGGUAAGAAACAUAGAACUAACAAGCGACCACCAACUGGAAGAAUUCAGGAAAGGUCAAAAGGAGAGAGGAAACUCCAGUCCAUAUGUCCUACCAACCUCCCAGGAUUCUUCUGGCUGGAAGCCAUCUUGGCUGAGUGGAUGCAAGCAUCACCAGGAAGGACUCCUGACUCAGAAGGAUUGGCCAGAGACAACCCAGGAACGAAUCCCAUCACCAUAAAACCCAAGACUGUGAGCCAUGUGGCAGAGCCCUUCUCCUGGUUUCCUUAAUGCUGCUGUUCUCUGCCCAGGCGCCCCUUCCCAAUAGAGUCUCUUGCUUUGUCAGCACGUGUGUCUCCUUGGACAAUUCAUUUCCGAGUGUUAGAUAAGAGCCCACUCUCGGGCCCUCGGAAGGGAUCCCCCUUCCUGUAACAAUUCCCUGUUUCCCUACUCAAAUAUCCAAACGAUGUGUGACCUAACUGAAUGUAUUUAAGAUAAUCUUUUUUUUUUUUGUCAAUGAAAUAGUUAAUUAUCUAUUUAUAACAAGUAACAUACUUGCCAUCUGUGAGGCUGGCAAGUCAUGAUCACAGGUUAUGUGUGACAACGUAUUACUUUAGAAGAGUGCUCUCAUCACCCUAUCCUGUCACUCAAUUUUUUGCCACCUCAUCCACUGCACCUGUGGGCUCAGGGCCUCUGCCAUCAUCGAAGCCACCUUUUGAGUCAUCUGAGUCGUCUAAGCACGUCUUCUCUCCCUUCUUGGUUCUCUGCGAUGCAACAUUUUUGAAAUCUGUAGGAUGCUUUCAUGGGCAUUUUUAGCCAAGCUUCGAGCACCUAUUUGCAUAACAUUAGGGCAGCUGGCAGUCCCAUUCAUCGGAGGUGUCCCUGCCUGAUCCCCAUCCUGUAACCACAGAUUGUGUGUUCUUAAGUGUCCUCAAAGGAUCUGUGCGCACUCACACUGGAACCUAUGACAGCAUAGGAUCGGUUCCAACCUGGGUUAAACUUACUAACCUCCUCUCAAGCGGUUCCUCGGAUGACCUUGGCCAGAAGGACCCAUGCAGGUUGUUUUAGGCAGCAUAUCUCACUGGUUGUUCAAAAAAUAAUCACUAAAAGCAUUCCACUACAUGAAAGUAUAUGUGCCGUCUUUCUUGAAAAUAAACAGCCUCCUGUUCCGGCAUCA